UCUAUCCUCAUUAACAAUAAAUCAUGGGAAAUGAUAGAGCUUAAUUAAUCCACCAUGUAAGGCCUCUGAGUUAACAAAAUUGCCACUAAAUUAUUUUCUGACCUGCGAGUGAAAGUGAUUCAAAUCCAAGGAUGCUUGAAGAUGCGGAAAUUAUUUUUAUUGGAAAAUUCUAUUGAUAUUACAGCGGUGAGCAGUAUCCCUUUCCUAAGGUUCCUUCAUUGUGGAGUUUGUACAGCUUCCUGGUGGAUGCUCCACAUCAUACUACGAUACAUUUAAAAACGUCCAUCUUUAUCAUAAUAAAAACUAUUUUAUCUGAACGAUUUUCUAUCAUUCGCUUUCACUCAUUGGAGAUUUACUAAGGGUCAGUCCAUUAUGGAGUUAUAUGCAUUUACUUUGUAGUA